GACGAACGCUGGCGGCGUGCUUAACACAUGCAAGUCGAACGGAAAGGCUCCAGCUUGCUGGAGUACUCGAGUGGCGAACGGGUGAGUAACACGUGGGUAAUCUGCCCUGCACUCUGGGAUAAGCCUGGGAAACUGGGUCUAAUACUGGAUAUGACCUUUCUCCUUAUGGGGUUUGGUGGAAAGUUUUUCGGUGUAGGAUGAGCCCGCGGCCUAUCAGCUUGUUGGUGGGGUGAUGGCCUACCAAGGCGACGACGGGUAGCCGGCCUGAGAGGGUGAUCGGCCACAAUGGGACUGAGGUACGGCCCAGACUCCUACGGGAGGCAGCAGUGGGGAAUAUUGCACAAUGGGCGGAAGCCUGAUGCAGCGACGCCGCGUGAGGGAUGACGGCCUUCGGGUUGUAAACCUCUUUCAGCAGGGACGAAGCGUAAGUGACGGUACCUGAAGAAGAAGCACCGGCUAACUAUGUG
rnacentral:rRNA from 1 species